rnacentral:lncRNA from 1 species
UUUCAUUUGCAGCAAAUUUGAAACCCAAAAACUGGCUGGGGCUUAUCAUUCCAUGUAAAUUUGGAACUGCCCAAUAACACCCCCUACCAGUUCCACAAAUGGUCACCCUGCAGGCACCGUAAGAGAUGAUGGUUGCUCUUUAUAUCGAUUUUACCUUUCUUAAUUCCUGGUGAAGCACCAGAAGAACUGAGCGGUCUCGGCGGACAAGGAGAUUUCCUCUGUGUUCAUCCAGGUCGAUUCCCUAAUGAUUAGCAAUAGGAUCAGAACCUAUUGAAUUUUCUUAUUUUUCAGAAUUCUUAACACUCCAUUUGGUUUUGGGAUUGUUAAAAACAAUAUCAGUUUCUCAGGAAUUUUUUUUUGGUCAUAUUUUCCAACAGCCAAAAUCCAAAUGGGGUUGAAUCUCUUUAUUACUAUUCUUUAUGGCAUUCUACAUGUUUGUUACAAUUACAAUUUCAUAUUUUCAAGAUUUCUCUUCUCAUUCCUGAUUGAAUAAUGCAGAAGAAACUCAAAAGUAGGGAAUUUGUCUGUAGAUUUUAGUGCGCAAGGUUCUUGAAUGCUUCCAUGUGUUCAUUAAUUAAUUUUGUCCCUGUUUUCGUGCUAAGAAUUAUUUCCAUUAGAAAAGGAAUUGAAUUCUAAGAUUUAUAACUCAUAAAAGAUAUAAACCAGCUCCCUCUGUCCACUCCUUAAGGGAUCUUUGAGUUUGUUAGACUUGGUUACACCUUAAUGUGGAUUCUGGUUUAUGGCUAGGCUACAAAUCCAAUGGUGAGAAAGGAAUUCUAGUUUUCAAGAAAGAACAAUAAAAGACAGGAAAUCCAAAGGUAGAUUUUUAUUAUGUACCAUACAUGAAAUCUGGUUUAGGCGGUUCCUGGAGUGAGUCCAAGUCAAGUCUGAAAUAUUAACCUUCUUGAACUUUUGAAGUUGAAAUUCAUAAACUGGGUGGAAAGUAUCCCAAAGCUUGACUUUAUCUAGAGUAUGCAUCAACUCCUCUCUGUGACACUAAAAUAAUUAUCCUGCAUGGUUCUCUCCAUCCCUGAAUUUCUUGCAUUUUCAAUCCUACUCAUGCAUAGCUGUUGCACAUGCCACCAAGAGUAGGGGAAUGUGGGAAGAGAGAGGUGGAUGCAGCACAACAUAACUUCCCACUUCAGUUGUUUGGGGGCAAAGAUCACAAGAUCACCGAAUGGACUUUGACCUUAGUGGGUUCAGACACAAGAAUAGACUAUGUGCCCUUUUUACUGCUAUAAUGUUGGCAUGGGCCAAAUGCUCAAACCUUUGUAGGUACUGUAACAGCCCCCAACCAGCAAUCCUACCCUAACAUACACAACACUUUGAGGUAUUUGACUCAGACCUCUGUUGGAGGAGGUGGUUGCUUUCAUUCACCUUCAUUUGAGAAGCACAUUAGUGUUUGGUAUCCUUGUUCAGGGGUUUUUGUUGUAUUAAUUAGGUCCAGCCAAGUGGAUAGCAAACUUUCUUGCAAUACUUAAUGUCAAUGUUGGGGGAAUUUCCAAUUUUGCCUUCACUACCAGGGGGUUGUUGAGGGGAUUUCAGUUCUAGCUACACCUUUAAAGGAGCUGUCUAUUGAAGUUGAGUCCUCUAAAGCGAUUGUUGGUAGUGGCAUUAGACAGGCUAGGUAAACAUCUUGAGAGAAAGCUACCCUUCAUUCCUUUCAAGCAGGAAAUGCAUUAGUGAAAGAGAGCCCAUCUAUUCAAAGGAGGCUUUUAUUGAAGCUGAGUCCUCUAAAGCUAGUGUUCGUAGUGGCCUAAGCUUGACUGAGGUAAAAAUCUGAAGAAAAAGCAACCAUCCCCUCCUCUUGGGCAGGAAAAGCACUCCUGAUAGAGAACCCAAGUUAAGAGCUGCUAUAAUCUAUCCUUGAGUUAUUUAUACAAGGUUGUUGUGUCUAACUCAAGGAAUAGACUAUAGUGUUUGAGUCUUGAAUGGAUUCUAUCUAUUAAAACCCAACUGUAUUCAACUUUGAGAUCUCUUGUUUCCAUUGUGGAUUUGAUGCUGUCAUCAACAUACUACAUAGCAUACUGUGUGUUUGCUAUAGUUACACAUCACAUUUUGCGAUGUUUUUGCUAAGAGUUUACAAACAGUUGUAAUAUGUCUUAAAUUCUUAAAAUUAGUUACAAUUCAUUUUGUUUAGAAUUUCUUGUAGAUGAGACCUUAUCUCAAGAUUUUUCUUAUUGAGAUAAAGUUCUCAUAUGAUGAGGAACUGAGUUAGAAUAAGUUAGUGAUGUAAAGGAAAGAAGGGAAACAUGAAUUUGUUUCACAGCUGAUAUGGGGCAUGAAAAUUAACAUGAGUUUGUUCAUGGCUCAAGUUAAGAUGUAGCUAGGAGGCUGGCUUGAAUUUUGGUAGCCGUUAUAAUUUUCCAUAUGGGUAGAGUUUGUGGGCUACUUUUGUAUACUCCCUGUAUACCUAGAGGCCACUAGUUUGGUGUCUCCUCUUUCUGUUUAAUAUAUUUCUCUUUACUUAUCAAAUAAAAAAUAAAAAAAUAAUUUUUUGUAUGGUUUGUUGGAUCUUUUUAGUUUAUCAACAUUUAAACUUAGGAAUGAAAAUUGUAUUCCUGAGAUGAAUUUCUAGAAUAUAAUGGAUUGGCAAUUUGAUAUUUCCAAUUCCCAAUACAAUAUUCGAUUAGAAUUGAUAAUUUGAAAUUUCAGUCAAUUUAGUUAAUCAACAUCAAUUCCCAAUGUAAUGUUCGAUUAGAAUUUGUAAUUUGAUAUUUUUGUCAAUAUAUUCCUAUCCUAGCAUAUGUUUUAUCUUAAAAAUUACUUGAAAAUUAAUGCAAGUUUACAUAAUAGUACUCCUUUAUGUAAUAUUGACAAAAAUUAGAUUCUUUUAUAGAUAAAGAAAAGAAUAACAUGUAGUUAUCAACUUUUCUUUUAUUUUCAUUCCCUAAGGAUGGGAAUUAAAAAGACCAUUUACCACAUGGGUAAGAGAUCUUUUAAAUUUUGGGAUCUUAUAUACCAAGAUAUCAAGAUUUCCAUAGUUAUGUGGACCCCAAACAUGGUAAGUUCAUACUUGUAUAUAUGAUACUUGUUCCAAGUACCCACAAACCAAAUACACCCACAGUUGAAUUCUCAUCCUAUUAGAGGUAAACAUAGUUUGAAAGGCAACAUGGGUAUGGAUGUGGGUCCUUGCUGGAUGCUCCUACUUUGAAUGAAAGAUUUGAGUUUAAUUUAUUUAUUGUUUUGCUCUCGACUUUCUUAGCAAAUAGUUAUGUUGCAGAACAAGAGAGUUUUCUGGGAGUGCACUUUUAUAAAAAUAUUUAGAGAUAAGAAAGAAAAUAGAUAUUUGCUUUUGAUUGAUUUCCAAUUGAUUUUACAAUUAUUCUUUUUCCUUUUUUUACGUCAUAUACAAGUGUUUAUACCUAUUAUUGAGAUGGUAGUUGAGUUCCCAUGUCUUGAAAUUAUAAGUACGAAGGAUUAGAGAUAUUUUUUUUCUGAUCAAUAAGUAGGAAGGAUUAGAGAUCUAGACACAUACUUGUACUCAACACCCACAUUACACUCAAACCCAUGCAACAUCACAACAUGUGACAUUAGAAUCUUCUUUUCACACACAGCACCAGCACUAAUCGCCAAUGACCUGGACAGUAGAAGAUAUCUUUCUGCAAUUCUUGUGGGUUUACAUAAAAAAAUAUCCAUGUUUGGCUGUGUUUCUAAGAGCUAAUAGUUCUAUUAUGGUGACUAGCCAUUAAUGCUUGUUCUCUCAGUCUUAUGACUGACUUGGUUCCCUUGUUCCAGAAUUAUGUUUCUUAGACCUCCAUUUACAGUCUAAGCUGCUUCUAAUCAAGGCAUAGACUAGUAGUAUUGUGAUGUGUGCAUCAUGCAAUUUCCUUCUUUUGUUUCUUUGUGCAUUUUUUUUUUGUUAGUCUGAAAAUACCAUCGAAAGUAAUCUUAGUUGUACAAUGCAGCAAUUAAAUUGUGCCUAAGUUUGUAAGAUAGGGAUUCCACUGAAUUUAUAUUUUCCCAAUUAAGAUUGUUGAUGCCUGAUUAAUCUCCUAUCAUCCAUGAUCUGACUUUAUACCAACAAGAAGAUGCAAAGUUGUCCCAAGUUCCCAAUCACACAUUACAUUUAUGUGAACCUAAACUCAGAAAACUUGUUAAGAGCUGCUCCUAUGAUUAAAAAAAAAAAAAAAAGAUGAUUUUAUUAAUUAUAACAGUAAUCUGUAGAGGGAAAUCAGACAAUAAAAAUAAUGGUAAUCUGCAUCUCUGAAGUGAUGUUCCUACCACUUUAGAUAGCUUAUAAAGGGUUUAUCUGAAACAGGUAUGGACUUGACAACCCAGCCGAUUGGCCAAGAUGCAGCAGCAAUUCCAAUGCAUGCACCCCAUUGUCCCCAAUCCAACCUCUCUGUAUCUGCAAAUUUCUUCAAAAAUUC